rnacentral:rRNA from 1 species
UACGGAGGGUGCAAGCGUUAUCCGGAUUUAUUGGGUUUAAAGGGUGCGUAGGCGGAAUGAUAAGUCAGAGGUGAAAGCCUACAGCUCAACUGUAGAAUUGCCUUUGAUACUGUUGUUCUUGAGUAUAUUUGAUGUGGGCGGAAUGUGUCAUGUAGCGGUGAAAUGCUUAGAUAUGACACAGAACACCGAUUGCGAAGGCAGCUCACAAAACUAUAACUGACGCUGAGGCACGAAAGCGUGGGGAUCAAACAGG